rnacentral:rRNA from 1 species
AUGAACGCUGGCGGCGUGCCUAAUACAUGCAAGUCGAGCGAACAGACGAGGAGCUUGCUCCUCUGACGUUAGCGGCGGACGGGUGAGUAACACGUGGAUAACCUACCUAUAAGACUGGGAUAACUUCGGGAAACCGGAGCUAAUACCGGAUAAUAUAUUGAACCGCAUGGUUCAAUAGUGAAAGACGGUUUUGCUGUCACUUAUAGAUGGAUCCGCGCCGCAUUAGCUAGUUGGUAAGGUAACGGCUUACCAAGGCAACGAUGCGUAGCCGACCUGAGAGGGUGGUCGGCCACACUGGAACUGAGACACGGUCCAGACUCCUACGGGAGGCAGCAGUAGGGAAUCUUCCGCAAUGGGCCAAAGCCUGACGGAGCAACGCCGCGUGAGUGAUGAAGGUUUUCGGAUCGUAAAACUCUGUUAUUAGGGAAGAACAAAUGUGUAAGUAACUAUGCACGUCUUGACGGUACCUAAUCAGAAAGCCACGGCUAACUACGUG